AGAUGUGGGCUGGAUGGUUUGGUUGCUAAAGCUAAGGUCUAGUACAUGGAAGUGCUUCUAAAGUUAGCACCAAUCCGAUGUGGCUUGCAACAUUGCAGAGGUGAUGAUAGUAGUUUUUAAAAUUGUUUGAGUCCCGCUGUUUUUAAACCUAUUUCACAGGACUAUUAUAUGUUUUGCUUGAGGAUAACAAAUUAUAAGUCUGGGGGAGUUGAGAUACUAUAUAUGGAUUUUACUGCUGUUUAUGCCAUAGCAUAUGUUAUAUUUAGAUUUUUAUAUUAUGCUUGGAGUCUAUUCUAGAGUCUUUUCAAAUUUAGGUACGUUCUGGAGUAUUGUGGAGAUUAUGAAGCUAAAUGAAGCUUAAAGGGAAGAAAACCCGUAGCUGAGCAAAUAAAGAGAAGACAAAGUCGAUUCACAAAGGAAGUGUCGGUUCGACACUCAUCCUUGGUGUGGAUCGACACACGAGCGAGUAAGGCCUUGCCGACUCAAAUUCACGAAAUGGUCCCAUAAACUUCCAUAAGAUUACAAGAUUGCUACGAGUUUAGACCUAA
rnacentral:lncRNA from 1 species